rnacentral:rRNA from 1 species
GACGAACGCUGGCGGCGUGCUUAACACAUGCAAGUCGAACGGAAAGGCCCUGCUUUUGUGGGGUGCUCGAGUGGCGAACGGGUGAGUAACACGUGAGUAACCUGCCCUUGACUUUGGGAUAACUUCAGGAAACUGGGGCUAAUACCGGAUAGGAGCUCCUGCUGCAUGGUGGGGGUUGGAAAGUUUCGGCGGUUGGGGAUGGACUCGCGGCUUAUCAGCUUGUUGGUGGGGUAGUGGCUUACCAAGGCUUUGACGGGUAGCCGGCCUGAGAGGGUGACCGGCCACAUUGGGACCGAGAUACGGCCCAGACUCCUACGGGAGGCAGCAGUGGGGAAUAUUGCACAAUGGGCGGAAGCCUGAUGCAGCAACGCCGCGUGCGGGAUGACGGCCUUCGGGGUGGAAACCGCUUUCGCCUGUGACGAAGCGUGAGUGACGGUAAUGGGUAAAGAAGCAACGGCUAACUACGUG